rnacentral:rRNA from 1 species
UACGUAGGGUGCGAGCGUUGUCCGGAAUUAUUGGGCGUAAAGGGCUCGUAGGCGGUCUGUUGCGUCGGGAGUGAAAACUCAGGGCUUAACCCUGAGCCUGCUUCCGAUACGGGCAGACUAGAGGUAUGCAGGGGAGAACGGAAUUCCUGGUGUAGCGGUGAAAUGCGCAGAUAUCAGGAGGAACACCGGUGGCGAAGGCGGUUCUCUGGGCAUUACCUGACGCUGAGGAGCGAAAGCAUGGGGAGCGAACAGG